AACGAACGCUGGCGGCGUGCUUAACACAUGCAAGUCGAACGGGAUUGGAAGCUUGCUUCCAUGAGAGUGGCGCACGGGUGAGUAACGCGUGGAUAACCUGCCCUGGUAUCUGGAAUAACAUCUCGAAAGGGGUGCUAAUACCGGAUAAGCUCACGACUCCUUCGGGUGAUGCGAGAAAAGGUGGCCUCUGAAUAUGCUACCGUAUCAGGAUGGGUCCGCGUACCAUUAGCUAGUUGGUGGGGUAAUGGCCUACCAAGGCUACGAUGGUUAGCUGGUCUGAGAGGAUGAUCGGCCACAAUGGAACUGAGACACGGUCCAGACUCCUACGGGAGGCAGCAGUGGGGAAUUUUGCGCAAUGGGGGAAACCCUGACGCAGCAACGCCGCGUGAGUGAUGAAGGCCUUCGGGUCGUAAAGCUCUGUCAGAGGGGAAGAAGUGUAGUGUGGUUAAUACCCACAUUACUUGACGGUACCCUCAAAGGAAGCACCGGCUAACUCCGUGCCAGCAGCCGCCGUAAUAC
rnacentral:rRNA from 1 species